rnacentral:rRNA from 1 species
AUUGAACGCUGGCGGCAUGCUUUACACAUGCAAGUCGAACGGUAACAGGCCUUCGGGUGCUGACGAGUGGCGAACGGGUGAGUAAUGCAUCGGAACGUGCCCAGAGGUGGGGGAUAACGCAGCGAAAGCUGUGCUAAUACCGCAUGUGAUCUGAGGUUGAAAGCGGGGGACCAGGCAGCAAUGUUUGGCCUCGCGCCUUUGGAGCGGCCGAUGUCAGAUUAGGUAGUUGGUGGGGUAAAGGCCUACCAAGCCGACGAUCUGUAGCUGGUCUGAGAGGACGAACAGCCACACUGGGACUGAGACACGGCCCAGACUCCUACGGGAGGCAGCAGUGGGGAAUUUUGGACAAUGGGCGCAAGCCUGAUCCAGCAAUGCCGCGUGCGGGAAGAAGGCCUUCGGGUUGUAAACCGCUUUUGUACGGAACGAAAAGGCUCUGGCUAAUACCUGGGGCUGAUGACGGUACCGUAAGAAUAAGCACCGGCUAACUACGUG